GAGCAUGCGCAGAAGCAUCUGGCUUUGUCUAGUUCGUUUUUGUUAUGGUCUUUCUAACUAUGAGCUUCUUCAUCACACUGCCUAUCAUUUCAGAGGCCAAGUCUCCACUCUGCUUCACCUGUUGAUACAGGAAACUUAAUAAAGAGGCUCCUUCCUCAUCAGAGCCAAGCAUGGCUCUCCUUGGAGCCCAGCCGCAACAGGGACCACGCUACCCCAACGGAGGCAGCGUGCAGCCUCACAGCCAGCUCCUGCUCUUUUAAAGAUCAUGGAGGAGAAACUGUCAGUUGGGUUGGAGGGUGACCUUCAAACAGCUCAAGUGACUACAUGUCCAAAUACACGUGCUGAGAGCCCUGUGAUGGAUACAUGUCUGGGACACAAAAGGGAAGUGUGGCACUCUGGCUUCUAGGCAGAGGUGGCAUUUUUCUUUGGCUGUGACAACAGGCAAACCGGCGCUGGCUUCUAUCACUGCCAGCAAGCCUGGUGCAUCCUGCCUUUUUCUCUUCACUGAGAGACGUGCCACCUUUCAGGGAAAAAUAUAGCACCCCCUUCCAUUUUACAUAGGAAGUUCUCACUCUCAUAAAUGGCUUUAAAAUAGCAAAAUAAAUAAAUAAGAAUUAAAAAUACAGACAAAAAGGUCAACAGUCCUGCACCUUGAGGAAGGCGAGGGAGGGUGCGCAUACAGAAGCGAUCAAUGCUUCGAAGCACAUUCCCAUCCCAGAAGCAAGAACACCCUGCAACAUCCAAUCUUCUCCUGAAUCUCACAUCUAGCAGGAGAAGUGUAAAAAAAUGUAUGAUGCCCCAUUGGCUACACAUUCAAAGAGGCAAAAGGGAGAAAAUGAGUUCUUUCCAAACCUUAUGCUCAGUAGAUGGAAUCAGAGGCACUUUUAGAUGAGGCCCAGCCAGUGCUAACUUGGUUCUCCAGCAUGGGCGUCAAAAGGCAUUUAGAUAUCAGGGAGAAAGAAGUAGGUAUUGCCUUUUAGAACAUUAAAAUGUUAGGGGGUGAGGGGACUCUUCCUAGACAUUGGAAAGGAGGAAACAAAGGCCCAGAGAUGGGUAGUGACUUUUCGGUAUCAUACAGGCAGUGGGAAUCUCCAGCAUGGCAACUGUGCUGAAAUAGAUGCAGUCUCCCCUAUCUGUGGGUCAUGAGAGGUGAGUGGCUGCAUCCCUCUCCAAGUCUCUAGCUGGUGAUAGAUAGCACAUGAAUUAGGAAAGCAGGUCCCAGAGGAGGGAUCUCACCAGAGCUGUGUUUUAUAUCAAUCCCAAUGCAGCAGCAGAUUUGUAAUGAUUCUUUGAAAGAGAAAAUUUAUAAAACAGCUGGAGUUUUCCCUAUUUUUGUUUUGUCUUUCAUACAUAUAGAACUCUUCUGGAACUAUUUUAACACCUGAGCACUAGUGGUAACAUGCUUUAGGUCCAAGGAAGGAGAAUUAGGAAUUGACAACACUCACUAUUUUGAAUAUAGUCAUGAUCUGCUGUCCCUUAAUUUAGGGCUACUGAUUUGGAACGUCCCAAACAAGGCUACUUUAAUCCUAAACACAUGCCAGAGAAGGAAAAUUGCCUGUAGACUGGACUCUUUUAAAAUACAUCUGCCAUGUAGUCAUUUGGGGGAAGGCUGGAACACAAAAAGAUAUUCAUUUCAGCUCUGACCCGUGGGCUACCUGCAGCUGAGUCCAAGGCUCUAUUUGGUAAGGGGCUAGAAGACCAUUAGGAUAUUGCCUGCCUCCUCUUCCUCCUCUUCUUUCCUACCCACUACCAAUCUAUAUAUGAGCCAAGCUCUCACCAAAUGGACCAGGCUGAUCUGGAACUCACUCCUUCGCGCCAGCAGACUCCCAAUUUGCAAUCUUGUAGUCUGAGUAACCUGAACCACAUGCCUGCCCCACCCAGCUUCGCAGCCAUGAUUUGUGUCAUCACUUCUCAAAGUGGCCUGUUUGACCUUAAAUCUCAUGCUCAAGUGAUCUUCCCACCUCAGCCUCCCAAAUCCUGGGCUGCAGGUUUUUUCGAUGAUGUGGCUUCAUGGCUUUCUAGCAUGUAGUAUUGAAGAGUACUGGUCCUAAGACACAUCUGAACUCGAGACCUUGAGUAAGGACACUUUCAUCCUUAGAGACUCAGUUUACUGAUGAAAGUGGGGAUUCAUUUGUCUUUUAUAGGAUUCUUCUGAUGAGUAACUAAAAGAAUGCUUGUGACACACUCAUGCAUAUACUUAGUAGAUAGCAAAGCUGGUACCACCACUGCCUUCACCUCAGCCCCUGCCACCACCGAUCAUUACUAUACCUCACCCCCAACUGUUCAAUCUCUGUCUCUCAACCUAAAAGAUAACAAAACACAGGGGCAGAGGGUUAGUUAUUUGGGAAAGCCGUGCAGUGGAAGAAACGAUCCGUAGGUCCUGGAAUUGUGUGCAUAAGCCUUGAAGCAACAUAUGGGGAGCUCUAAGCAAUGUGAUUCUACUUAAACUUAGGAAACUACCUUUUGUUCCCAAAGCACAUUUUAAACCAACAUUGAUUCAUGUUGAAGUCUUGACUUAAAAGGCCUCCCAGAAUGAAUGAUUUUUCAGACCUUGUAGGCAUAGACUCAGUAUCAGCUUGUUUUGGCCACUUGUUAGCUGGAUAGCCUCAAAUUAACUGCUUAACUCUGUGACCUUCAGUUUUCUCUUUGGGUUAAUGCCAGUACCAACUUCAUAAGGUUGCCGUGAGCAUUAGGAGAUAAUUUAUGCACAGUGCCCACCAGAGCAAGUGCCACAUAGUAAGUGCUCAAUAAAAUGGCAUUCGCUUACAGAGACUUUAUUAAUGUGUAGAACAAAGUUAUUGUCUUGCUUCACUUCUAGCAGAAGUGUAGGUCACUGGUACUCAGAUCUCUCAAGCCACAUAUGCUGCCCUGAAGCAUACUGACUUCUGUAGGGCAAUUCUACCAUGUAGCCUGUACCCACUACAACAUGGGCUGUUAUGGCCAGGAUCAGGGUCCUGAGAGACCAGAAUCACAUACUAACAUCAUUGAAAAACAUGAUAUUCAUCAAGGAUUUUGUUACUUUAAUUUUGAGUUUUUGAAUGUCUCAAAUAUUAAAGUGUAUUGUUAGUUCCCCUCACUCCACUCCACAAGGACAAGAGACUCCACCAUCUCUCUCUAGGUCUAUACUCUACAAGGACAAGAGACUCCAACAUCUCUCUCUAGGUCUCUCCUGUGGUUGGAUGGAUGGAUGGGAAAUUCAUACCCUAAAAAACUGAAGAGGAAAUUCAUACCCUAAAAAACUGAAGAGUUGACAGGAGAGGCACAGUGAAAAUCUGGAGGAUUUUGAACUUUUAUCUGGAAAGUACCUUUCUCCAGCCACGCACAGCCAUGCAUAAGAGAAACCAGCCUAGCAUCUCGUCUACUGAAGAAAUGGCAUUUUCUGUUGGCAAGGAGUCAAAGAGGAAGAUGAUACCUGACCACGCCUAUGUGACUAAGCUCUUUGCUUUGUUUUUUUUGAGACAAAAGUGAGUUAUUAUUAGUUAGAACAAAACAAAGCCCCCACAACCUUUUUAAAUUACUGUAUUGAAAUACUGUAAUAAAAUAUUUUACAA
rnacentral:lncRNA from 1 species